CCUACGGGAGGCAGCAGUGAGGAAUAUUGGUCAAUGGGAGAGAUCCUGAACCAGCCAAGCCGCGUGAGGGAAGACGGCCCUAUGGGUUGUAAACCUCUUUUGUCGGAGAACAAAACCCGGGACGUGUCCCGGACUGCGUGUAUCCGAAGAAAAAGCAUCGGCUAACUCCGUGCCAGCAGCCGCGGUAAUACGGAGGAUGCGAGCGUUAUCCGGAUUUAUUGGGUUUAAAGGGUGUGUAGCCGGGCUGACAAGUCAGAUGUGAAAUCCGGGGGCUCAACCCCCGAACUGCAUUUGAAACUGUUGGGCUUGAGUAUCGGAGAGGCAGGCGGAAUGCCUAGUGUAGCGGUGAAAUGCGUAGAUAUUAGGAGGAACACCAGUGGCGAAGGCGGUCUGCUGGACGACAACUGACGGUGAGGCGCGAAAGCGUGGGGAGCAAACAGGAUUAGAUACCCGGGUAGUC
rnacentral:rRNA from 1 species